UCGAGAAUCUUCGGCAAUGGGGGAAACCCUGACCGAGCGACGCCGCGUGCGGGAUGAAGGCCUUCGGGUUGUAAACCGCUGUCGUAAGGGAACAAAUCCAUUGGGGUACUCCCCUUUGGUUGAGUGAUCUUAGGAGGAAGGACGGGCUAAGUUCGUGCCAGCAGCCGCGGUAAGACGAACCGUCCGAACGUUAUUCGGUAUUACUGGGCUUAAAGAGUUCGUAGGCGGCCAGACAGGUCAGAUGUGAAAUCCCUCGGCUCAACCGAGGAAUUGCGUUUGAAACCGUCAGGCUUGAGGGAGAUAGAGGUGAGCGGAACAGAUGGUGGAGCGGUGAAAUGCGUUGAUAUCAUCUGGAACACCGGUGGCGAAAGCGGCUCACUGGAUCUUUUCUGACGCUGAGGAACGAAAGCUAGGGUAGCGAACG
rnacentral:rRNA from 1 species